UUGGGUGUAAAGGGUGCGUAGACGGGAAAAUAAGUUAGUUGUGAAAUCCCACGGCUCAACUGUGGAACUGCAACUAAAACUGUUUUUCUUGAGUAUCGGAGAGGAAAGUGGAAUUCCUAGUGUAGCGGUGAAAUGCGUAGAUAUUAGGAGGAACACCAGUGGCGAAGGCGACUUUCUGGACGAAAACUGACGUUGAGGCACGAAAGUGUGGGGAGCAAACAGGAUUAGAUACCCUGGUAGUCCACACUGUAAACGAUGGAUACUAGGUGUAGAGCGUAUUAAGCGCACUGUGCCGAAAGCUAACGCAAUAAGUAUCCCACCUGGGGAGUACGACCGCAAGGUUGAAACUCAAAGGAAUUGACGGGGGCCCGCACAAGCAGUGGAGUAUGUGGUUUAAUUCGAAGCAACGCGAAGAACCUUACCAGGGCUUGACAUAUACCUGAAAGAUUUAGAGAUAAAUCCCUUCUUCGGAACAGGUAUACAGGUGGUGCAUGGUUGUCGUCAGCUCGUGUCGUGAGAUGUUGGGUUAAGUCCCGCAACGAGCGCAACCCCUAUGGUUAGUUGCCAGCACAUAAUGGUGGGAACUCUAGCCAGACUGCCGGUGAUAAAUCGGAGGAAGGUGGGGACGACGUCAAAUCAUCAUGCCCUUUAUGUCCUGGGCUACACACGUACUACAAUGGCUGUAACAGAGGGAAGCAAGAUAGUGAUGUGGAGCAAAACCCUAAAAGCAGUCUCAGUUCGGAUUGAAGGCUGAAAUUCGCCUUCAUGAAGCCGGAAUUGCUAGUAAUGGCAGGUCA
rnacentral:rRNA from 1 species